UGCAGUCCUCUGACAUGUUCCGUACCGUGGUGCUGCCAGCCCGGCUGGUUUCCCUCAGCCCGUUUCUGACAGUGAGCCACGAAACUUCAGCCACCUCGACUUUAAAUAUUUAUACUUGGAUCUGAAAGCCCGUUCAAAUCUGAUGUGUGUUGUACUCCCUGGGCUCUGCAAUUAAACGUGAUUAGGACUUUUCAGGUGAUGUCACGGACGAGCAGUGCUCCUGAACCCUCCUAGGACACCCCAGCCUGUUGGAGAUGCGGUCCCGGAGGCGUUGGCAGCCACUGCUGGGUGCGAUGCUGGUGGAGAUGUGCUGCUCUGAGAGCCCCAGUAAUGCUCGGGGCAAGCUUUGACCAGAAAUACACAGCUAGUACCCAAAAGCAUCACAGCAGCCAACACACCCCCCUUUAGCAUAAAGCUGGGGCUGGGGCAGGAGCUGCUUUCAGGUGUGUUUUCCACGCACACUACUUCGAGCCAGCAGAAUGAAAGUCACCCGAGUGGCUUUUAACACCCCUCUGCUGCUCACUGCUCUUUGCAUGGCAUUUGUUGGUCUUCCCAGCUUGGUGUCACCAGCAGCAUGCAACUUCUUCCUUCCUUCCCAGCCUUUAGCCAGAUCCUGGUGGUGAGGAAUGCAAACGUGGGCAGCUGCAGGUCGGUCGCAGAGACAUCCCAAACAACUGCUCUCUCCUGAAUCUUUAUUGCACCCAUUUAAUCUUGCAGUCCCACAGCUCAGAGAGUAAAAUUCUGUUGCUGUAGUACUUAGUAAAGAGCUGGAUGCUUUGGUACAUACUACAGAGCUAAAUGCUUUUUGAUUUGUCCUCUGUCUCCCGUCUGUCCCCACAGCCUGGCACAGUCCCCGCCGCGCUGCCCCAUGCACGGCUGCGUCCCCAGCCCUCACACCCACCCCGGGGCCCAGACAGGGCACUGGCGAGUUAAACAGCCUUCUUCCCCAGCCCGAUACAAUAAAUCAGGCAUUUUAUGGCUGCAGAAGUCAUGAGAGGACGGGCACACCGAGCCUGCAGAUGGAGACCAGACGGGAGGAAGGGAAGGCUUGGUGCCUGCGGUAAUCACGCGGAUCAAUGGCACUCAGGUUUCUGCAGCCCGUCCUGGGCCCUGCUCCCGACUGCUGCUGAUUUAUGGGCAGGAGCCAGCAGACACAACCCGACCCUCACGGCUCCCCGAGCCAGCUCCUGCUCGGCCAUUUACCAUCUCAGCUUCCCCACAGCCUCCUCCCACCUACGUGGGGGGCCCCUGGGACACGCUGGGCACUUCAGCCCCUGGCUACAUCCCUGCGAGUCACAAAAGAGCAGGGGAUGCUCCAGGUCCAGGUACCCUUUGGCUGACCUUUGGCUUUGCUUCAUGCCUGUUCUCCUUCUCAAACCCAGGCCUCAGGCACGGGGCAAGGUUUUCCUGGGAGGGGACAAACCACCUCAGCUUCUUCCUCAGAGCCACUCCUGUGGACGGGGCUGGUGUCCCCAGGCAGCAGCUCCCACGGGUGGCAGCGUGCAUUGCCAGCCCGGCCCCUUCCAGAGAUCAGAUGGACGUGCAGAACCAGCACACAGCCAUUAGCAUUCAAACAAACAUAGGAGGUUUGUUUCACACACUGUAACUAACAGUCGGAAAUAAAAUUGUGUAAUAAAAGGAAUGAACAAAAAUAU